rnacentral:rRNA from 1 species
GACGGAGGAUGCAAGCGUUAUCCGGAAUGAUUGGGCGUAAAGCGUCCGCAGGUGGCAGUUCAAGUCUGCUGUCAAAGACCGGGGCUUAACUUCGGAAAGGCAGUGGAAACUGAAUUGCUAGAGUGUCGUAGGGGUAGAGGGAAUUCCCGGUGUAGCGGUGAAAUGCGUAGAGCUCGGGAAGAACAUCGGUGGCGAAAGCGCUCUACUGGACGACAACUGACACUCAGGGACGAAAGCUAGGGGAGCGAAUGGG